rnacentral:tRNA from 1 species
UGGGCAGUCGCCAAGCGGUAAGGCAUCAGGUUUUGGUCCUGACAUGCGGAGGUUCGAAUCCUCCCUGCCCAGCCA